rnacentral:rRNA from 1 species
UACGUAGGUCGCAAGCGUUGUCCGGAUUUACUGGGCGUAAAGAGCGCGCAGGCGGCUGGUCAAGUCCGAUGUGAAAUCUCCCGGCUCAACUGGGAAACUGCAUCGGAAACUGAUCGGCUUGAAGAUGGGAGAGGGUAGUGGAAUUCCCGGUGUAGUGGUGAAAUGCGUAGAUAUCGGGAGGAACACCAGUGGCGAAGGCAGCUCGCUGGGACGUUACUGACGCUGAGACGCGAAAGCGUGGGGAGCAAACAGG